UUGCAUGUGGAAAUGUCUGCUCCUCAUUCCUUUGGAAGCAGUAAUACAUCCAUAACAUGCUACAUUAAAAAAGGAGUUCUCAGGGCUGCCAACCUUACAGUAGAGGUUGAGUAGUAGUAUAUUUCUCCUACAUAA